UGCAGGCCGCGCCCAUUGCCUCCCCAGAGACUCGGCCGCGGCUCCCGGGAAACGCGCCCUGAACAUGCGCCAUUCAUCUUUAGAGCAGAGCUGCACACCCUCGGCGCGCGGUGGGCGCAGCCGGCCGCGCGGCUCGGGGGGAGGGGUUUCAGGGGGCUGUCUUGCCCCUCGCCGCUAGUUCUCCUGUUUUCCUUUCCAGCCUGAGCGCGGACAGACACUCGAAGUCCCGCCCUCCCGUGUCUCGCCGGCCGUCUUCUUUCCCCGGCCCUGAAACCCCACUUGCCCGGGGCGCUUUGCUAGGCCUCUGACCCCGGGCCUCGGCGCUGGCCCAGGCCAGACUGGCCGCGUGAGGGGCCGCCUGUCCCCCAGUUUGGGGAAGCUUGGGGCUGCGGGAGGAGUCUCCCGGCCUUGCGGGCCGCCCACACAGCCCCUGCUAAGAUCCCUGGAGGCCAGGUUACCCAGACCAUCUCCCCUCGCGGGCACACCCCGACACACAGCUGCCACCCUGUGCCUCUGUCAAGAUCCGUCUGCCGGAACCCGGUGCUUUCUGGGCCAUCUUUGUCCCCUAGUUAAGGCAGCAAUAACUCUCCCGCGUGCUUUCCGAAAAGGCCCAGGCUUGAGCUGAGUCCCCGGAUCUCUCUCUGAGAGCGGGACAGACCUAGUGUCAGAAUUUCAGGCACCACCAAGCUAAACGUGCCUGCAUAGACUCGGCUUCCUGAGCCCACUUCCUCGAGGGACCACCGGUUCUAAAUACGCCCGCGGGCAGGAACUGCCGGAAACCAAGCGCUUCCCCACGGACAAGGCAGCGCCUCGAUUUUGGUCAGAUGCCCCCACGGGCCUGCUAAAUUCCAAGGGAGCCGGGUGCGCGGCCCCGAGGACGAUCAGCCCCCAAUCCUAGAGGUCCUCGGCGCUCCUUGUUGCCCAGGGAUGCUGUCGGCAUUCCUGCUGAACCGCUCUUCCGAUCUGCCCAACCCAGCCUGGGGACCAGCCAGCCUGCGGAGGUUGGUCCGGUGGUCACCCAUCUUCUUGAUGAGUUUCACUUCCUCAUCUAGGAAGUGGUUCUCCAGGAAGUCACAGAUGUGGGGGUCUCCUCGGGCAGAAGCAGGCCACGCAGAUCCAACAGGGCUUGAUUCAGGUUCUUCUCUACGAGAAGGGCGGCCUCCAUGGCCUCCUGGGUUUUACCCCCCUCAUCUUGAGAGGGCUUCUGCACGUCCAGCAAGAGGGCGCGGCCGCCACGCUGGUUUUGCAGUUUCAAGAGACGCUCCUCGCCCUCGCGCUUCUCCUUGGCCCGUUCGCGAAAAAAGUGACCCACGCCCUCCAGGGCCACGUCGUCGGCAGGAGCCCAGAGAGAGGCAGGUGUAGGCGGCCCGCCGCUGCAUGUUAGCCAGGCGGCUGACGGCCUCCACCUCUGUAGAAUGAUUCUGACGAAUCUGGGAGCUCAUGAUUGGUCAGCUAUAAGGAGUUAAAAAGUGGUGGCUGGUCCCGGUGAUCACGGACAGCUGAGUGGCUGACUCUGGAGGCUGCGACUGGAAAAAAUGUUGGAGGGUUGUUGGAGGCUGGAGCAAGGAGAGUCCCUGGGUCUGUUCUGUCCAAGCACUGUUGAAGCAAGAGACAGUUCCACGGGGCCGCCGAGCGCACUUCUCUCGGUCACUUCUUGCCCAAGCCUCGCCAUCCCCGCGUCCACGCUGGACUGCCUGCUGCCCGCUGCUCAGAGUGACAGGGACCAUGGCGCUCCCCGUGCUGGGACGCGGAGGACGCCGCCCACAGCCUGCAGCGUCCAGGCUGGACCCUCAGCGGGUGUCUCAUGCGUGGGCACCAGUGUGGGCUCCGGUGGGUCUCCCCCACCCUGCUCUGCGGGGUGCCCUCCCCGUGGGCUUGCCCCGGCCUGUCUGCCAGGGCGCCGGGCUGGCCCCCGCCUUCAGGGGGUGUGGGGUGUGCGCUCCCUGCAGGAUGCCCCUGUCUGAGCCCUGCGCCGUCUGCCCCUCCCCUCCGGCCCCUCUUCCGUCCGCCGGCGUCCACGCUGGCACAGGCGCUUUCUUUGGGUAGCUGUUUCUGGUUUGUUUUUCGCGGUGUCUCUCUCCCUCCUUCCUGACCUGGCCUCGUCUGGCCAACCCCGCCCUCCACUUCUCGCAGAGCUGAGCACAGGUGCUGGCACUCAGGGUGGGGGGCUAGACGGCUUGGGCCCCACCCGCAGCUGGGGUGGGGGGUUCUACCGCCGAAGUAGGGGCUGCGGUCCCUGGAGGCAGGCGGACCAGGAGCCCAGCAUCGGCCUGGCCCGUCAGAGGCCUCCGGGUGGAGGGCGGACGGUGCGGACGCCGGGGCUCCCGGGGCUGGGGAGGGGAGGGGGCUCCCUCCCCGGCUCCCAUCCCUGCCUCGGCCCUGCCUGCGGCCGGACCAGGGCCACUGCCUGAGGGGCUGGCCACCAGGCCCCAGAGCCUGGGAAGGCUCCCGAGAAGCUUUGUUGUCAGCAGAGAAAGCGGCAGGGUUUGUACUGUGAGAAUCAAUUGCAGGGGAGGAAAAAACAGGGAAAUUUCUUUUAAAUUCCUCAAAUCUCCUGGGUUGUGUUGUACAAUGAAAUGAAUACAUGAACCGCACAGAAAAAUAUAUCUUUCUAUUUCUCAGAAUUGUUGUUUACUAAGAAUAAGGCUCUAAUCAACUGGGAGUUUAGAACUUCAAUAGGGCAGCUGAACUAAGGCUGAAGACAUUUUUUAAAAUUUUAAAGUCUUGCAGCUGAGAGUCAAAGAAGUUAAAACUUGGCAGCAUUAUCGUCUAAGCGGCUGUGUUGUCCUGGGCUCCACAUUCAUGGCGUGAGCCACGUUGGAGACGUCAUUGCUUUAUUCCAUAAUGUUUGUGUUAUCCAAUAAGUAAAUCUGUCUUUUAUAUAGAAUGCUUCUCUGGUUUAUUAAAUGAUAAUUACUGAAGAGAAUGACCAAGUUUUGGAAAGGGGCAGAGUUUACACACAGCUUUCCAUUAGCAUGAAAGCCUAAAAACAGCUAAUUUUAGAUUCUGCGCGUCUCCUGUGGGCUUGGGGUGAUGUAACAGGAUUAUGAGAGCAUGUGUGUCUCCGUGAACACCGUGACAGGUCCCAUCUCAGCUCUAGUCUGUGGAACACUGGCUGAUCUGGGGAUGGGGGGGUGGGGAGUGGGUUUGCAGAAAGAAGCAGAACAGCAAGCAUUUUUCUGCUCUUCUGGUGGGCUCCAGAGCAGACUGAGGGUACGGGGUGAGUCCUGGGAUGGCUCUGAGCUCUGGUAGGAAAGGUUAAAUAUUCAUUUUCUCAACUGUUGGAAUAAUCCUUUGUAUAGACUCUAUAAGACUUUGGAAAAGAAAUCUUCGAAGGGCUUUCAAAAAUUUAUGAGAAACUGACUUUUCAGUUUUGGCCAAUCUACUGGAUGGUCAAGUUGCAGGAGAUAAAAGGCUCAAUAGACGCUAAAUAUCUGUAUUCUGAGGACAUACCACUUGUACAUAAAUAUUUGAUCAUUUCUAGAGUAACUAAUGUUAGAAAAAGCAAUCCUGACUUGACGCAGCUCAGAAACGACUGCUCUUAAGGACCGACCACCUCUGAGUCUGAAAACCGUCCCCUGCACCUCUUACCUCUGGCACAGUCCAAGCAGAAAAGGACAUUCGCUGGCCCGGGAAGUUAUAGUGGAGGCAGGCUCUGAAGACAUGAGUUUCAUCAAAACUCAGGGCCCGGAGGAGGGGGUGAUGACACAGGCUCUGUCCUUCCGCACCGCUGAGACGAGCCCCACGAGCCUUGGUUGCCCCAGCAACUUGGUGACCAUCCUGCUUGUCUGGAGGUUGAGGGAAGAAAGGCUAGCUCUCUUCAAAGUUUCUUAAAGAAGUGAAGCCAGAGGCUGCAAGCGCCGUGAACAGGGGCUUAUGGCCACCGUCUUGCUUUGCCCCAGGGUUAGUGGCUAGAAGCUGAGGCAGGCCUGCCCCAGCCUUGCAGUUCUGGCCCGGAACCAUUCCCGAGAUGGCUCCCGGACUCACAGGUCUGGAGCCCGGUGGGCAGCGGUGCCCUCCCCUCCCCACACGCUCCCAGGCACUCACCCCGUGGCCUCCAGUGGGGGAGCCGGACUGUCCACCGAGUGACCAGGGCUCCAAAACAGGGAGACUGGAGGCCCGCAUUGCCUCCGAGGUCUGCGUCUGGAAACCACGACCAUGUCUGCCAAACCGUCACAUGAGGCAGUCACAAGCCAGGUCCGCUUUAAGGAGUGGAGACAGAGGCCCCGCUCCCUACGGCAGGGGGAGUGAUGCCUUUACGUCCGUCUUGAAAGGGCCUCCGCGUUCUCUCUGGCCAUUAACUGGUUCCACUUCUCCUUCCCACCCAAGGUGCCUGGAGGGUUAAUCGCAUUACAACACCAGGGUUUAAGCUCAAAUUCCAGGAUCUCCUAAAUUAAACUAGAUCCACGGAUAAGGGUCUUUGGACAGGAUUUCAUCAGAAGUGUUUCUUUUGAUCUUAAAAACUCCAAGCUAAGAAGACAAAUUAUCUUUCCCCCUUACUGGGCUCAAGCAGACACUCCGGAGGGUUUUGAGGCGGGGGGGGGGGGGGGGGUGGGGGGGGGGGGAGGGUGGUGAGAUGCUUUCCCCGUCCUGAGUCCUUUGCUGCUUACCCCAGGUCCAGACAUGGGGCCACGGCCGGCGGGAUGGAGUGGCGGGCAGGGGGGGGGGGAACCUGGGGCCGGGGCCCCCGGGGGGGCGAUUUAUACGCCACUCUCUGGGUGCU
rnacentral:lncRNA from 1 species